UGCUCGUCUGGGCAGCACUAUACUAAAAUUGGAAUGGUAGAGUGAUUAGCAUGGUCCCUACGCAAGGAUGACACACACAUUCGUGAAGCAUUCCAUAUUUUU